rnacentral:rRNA from 1 species
UACGAAGGGGGCUAGCGUUGUUCGGAAUCACUGGGCGUAAAGGGCGCGUAGGCGGCUUUGCACGUCGGGGGUGAAAGCCUGUGGCUCAACCACAGAAUUGCCUUCGAUACUGCAUGGCUUGAGACCGGAAGAGGUAAGUGGAACUGCGAGUGUAGAGGUGAAAUUCGUAGAUAUUCGCAAGAACACCAGUGGCGAAGGCGGCUUACUGGUCCGGUUCUGACGCUGAGGCGCGAAAGCGUGGGGAGCAAACAGG